GCCGCUGGUCACGUGGCGCCGCGGCCGGAAGCGGAAGCGGCGGGGAUGACGGCGCGGCGCGCGGUUGCCAUGGGGUCCUGGGCCGCGCCCCUCCCCGCACGCUGGGCCCGGGCCUGGAGGGGCCUCAGCACCAGGCAGGCCCCUCCCGACCCGCACUCGGUGCUCGGGGUCCGUCCCGGGGCCUCCCCCAGGGAGAUCCGCGCCGCCUUCCUGGCCCGCUGCAAGGAGGUUCACCCCGACGGGGACCCCUCGGACCCCUCCCGCCAUGGCCGCUUCCUGCGCCUGGCCGAGGCCUACGCGGCCCUGAGCGCCCCCCGGGCCCCGCCCCGGGCCGGCCCCGAGACCCCCGCUCAGGACAGCGCCGAGACCCCGCCCCGGCCCGGGACCCCCCCCAGCUGGGAUCGGGAGCGGCGGCGCUGGGAGCAGAACCGGCGGCACUGGGACGAGAACCGGCGCUACUGGGAGCAGUUCCGAGCCCCCCGGGGCGCCCCCCGAGCCCCCCACCGGCGCCUGCUGGGGCUGCUGCUGCUGCUGAUGGCGCUGGGCGGGCUGGCACACGGGCUGGCCUACAGGUACGUGGCCGGGGCUCACACUGCCUUCCUGGACGAGCAGGACCGGAAGCUGCGCGCGGCCUACGAGAGAGCGCGGAGCCGGGCGGGGUCGCACGAGGAGCUCCUGAAGCGGCUGCGGGAGCGGAGGCGGGGCCGGCCGGGGGGGGGGGGAGGGGAAGGCAGCGAGGGGGGGGGAGGGGAGGGGUCCUGACUCGCCCCCCCCUCCCCCUCCCCCUCUCCUUCCUGCCCUCGGACCCCUCCCCCAUCCCCCCAACCUCCUGCCCCUCCCCCCGCUGCCCCUCCCCCUCCGCGCUCCGCCGGGAGCCCCCAGCGCGGGGUCUCCAUUGCCGCCUUCUGCAAAGACUUCAACGAGCGCACCCGGGACAUCAAACCCGGGGUCCCUCUGAGGGUCCGGCUGCUCGUGAAUCCCGACCGGACCUACUCGCUGACCAUCGGGACCCCCCCC